rnacentral:rRNA from 1 species
AUACGUAUGGUGCAAACGUUGUUCGGAAUCACUGGGCAUAAAGGGCGCGUAGGCGGUCUGGUAAGUCUGUAUGUGAAAUCCCUCGGCUUAACUGAGGAACUGCAUCGGAUACUGCCAGACUAGAGUGCAGGAGGGGAGAGCGGAAUUCCUGGUGGAGCGGUGAAAUGCGUAGAUAUCAGGGGGAACGCCGGUGGCGAAAGCGGCUCUCUGGCCUGCAACUGACGCUGAGGCGCGAAAGCUAGGGGAGCGAACGGGAUUAGAUACCCCAGUAGUCC